GACGAACGCUGGCGGCGUGCUUAACACAUGCAAGUCGAACGGAAAGGCCCUGCUUUUGUGGGGUGCUCGAGUGGCGAACGGGUGAGUAACACGUGAGUAACCUGCCCUUGACUUUGGGAUAACUUCAGGAAACUGGGGCUAAUACCGGAUAGGAGCUCCUGCUGCAUGGUGGGGGUUGGAAAGUUUCGGCGGUUGGGGAUGGACUCGCGGCUUAUCAGCUUGUUGGUGGGGUAGUGGCUUACCAAGGCUUUGACGGGUAGCCGGCCUGAGAGGGUGACCGGCCACAUUGGGACUGAGAUACGGCCCAGACGCCUACGGGAGGCAGCAGUGGGGAAUAUUGCACAAUGGGCGGAAGACUGAUGCAGCAACGCCGCGUGCGGGAUGACGGCCUUCGGGGUGUAAACCGCUUUCGCCUGUGACGAAGCGUGAGUGACGGUAAUGGGUAAAGAAGCACCGGCUAACUACGUG
rnacentral:rRNA from 1 species